GAAUGAAGGAAGCAUGGUAAUGUGCACAGAGAUUGAAUAUUAGGUCAUCAUGUCUGCCCCCACUGAUGCCUUUCGGCUUUGAUUUGGGGGCCUGGAUCCGACCUACAUUC